GCCCCCGUGGUGUAAUGGAUAACGCACCGGCCUCCGGAGCCGGCAAUCCCAGUUCGAUCCUGGGCGGGGGUA
rnacentral:tRNA from 1 species